CGAGUGGCGAACGGGUGAGUAAUAUAUCGGAACGUACCCUGGAGUGGGGGAUAACGUAGCGAAAGUUACGCUAAUACCGCAUACGAUCUAAGGAUGAAAGCAGGGGACCGCAAGGCCUUGUGCUCCUGGAGCGGCCGAUAUCUGAUUAGCUAGUUGGUAGGGUAAAAGCCUACCAAGGCAUCGAUCAGUAGCUGGUCUGAGAGGACGACCAGCCACACUGGAACUGAGACACGGUCCAGACUCCUACGGGAGGCAGCAGUGGGGAAUUUUGGACAAUGGGCGCAAGCCUGAUCCAGCAAUGCCGCGUGAGUGAAGAAGGCCUUCGGGUUGUAAAGCUCUUUUGUCAGGGAAGAAACGGUGAGCUCUAAUACAGCUUGCUAAUGACGGUACCUGAAGAAUAAGCACCGGCUAACUACGUGCCAGCAGCCGCGGUAAUACGUAGGGUGCAAGCGUUAAUCGGAAUUACUGGGCGUAAAGCGUGCGCAGGCGGUUUUGUAAGUUUGUCGUGAAAUCCCCGGGCUCAACCUGGGAAUGGCGAUGAAGACUGCAAGGCUAGAGUUUGGCAGAGGGGGGUAGAAUUCCACGUGUAGCAGUGAAAUGCGUAGAUAUGUGGAGGAACACCGAUGGCGAAGGCAGCCCCCUGGGUCAAAACUGACGCUCAUGCACGAAAGCGUGGGGAGCAAACAGGAUUAGAUACCCUGGUAGUCCACGCCCUAAACGAUGUCUACUAGUUGUCGGGUCUUAAUUGACUUGGUAACGCAGCUAACGCGUGAAGUAGACCGCCUGGGGAGUACGGUCGCAAGAUUAAAACUCAAAGGAAUUGACGGGGACCCGCACAAGCGGUG
rnacentral:rRNA from 1 species